AAGAAAUCGGGCUCCUUCACUGAACCUGGAGCGCCCUGAUUCAGCUGCCUGCCUGCCCUGUAAUCAUCAAGGAUAUACCUGUCUCCUUGACCUCAGCCUCAGUCUGGGGUUACAGCUUUAACUCCAUCCUAGCUGAGAAGCGAAUCAUCAGGAUUUCCCAGAUCAGACCAUUUGUGUAAGACUGUGUUGGUGAUUAACUGAUGAGGACCCAGCCUGCCACCAAGUGCAAGUCUCAGCAGGUCAGCACACAGCGUUUCUCUGUGGCUUCUGCUUCGGUUCCUGCCCUGACUCCCUUCAGGAUGGACUGUGGCCUGGAAGUGUCAGCCAAAUCAACCCCUUCCUCUUCCAACUUGCUUUUGGCCAGAGAGCUGUAUUGCAGCAACAGAAAGGGAGGUGGGAUGCAUCUCAAUGGGACACUUGAGAGGUGACGUUUAUACCGCGAAAACUGCAUCUCUAACGCGUUAUUCCUAAGAGGCCGUCAUUCGAUUCCCCUGCUGACAACUAGGCAAAUCAAAACCUGAAGACGGCAAUCCAGAGCU